GCGCCCGUAGCUCAGUUGGAUAGAGCGACCGCCUCCUAAGCGGUAGGCCGGAGGUUCGACUCCUCUCGGGCGUGCCA
rnacentral:tRNA from 2 species